UACGUAGGGGGCAAGCGUUGUCCGGAUUCAUUGGGCGUAAAGAGCGUGUAGGCGGCCUGAAAGGUCAGCUGUGAAAACUCGAGGCUCAACCUCGAGACGUCGGUUGAAACCAUCUGGCUAGAGUCCGGAAGAGGAGUGUGGAAUUCCCGGUGUAGCGGUGAAAUGCGCAGAUAUCGGGAAGAACACCCGUGGCGAAGGCGGCACUCUGGGACGGUACUGACGCUGAGACGCGAAAAGCGUGGGGAGCGAACAGG
rnacentral:rRNA from 1 species